GGACCCCAGUGAGGAGAGUUCACUGUGGGCCGCUGCACUCUGGAGAGCCCGAGGAUCCAGUGGCUGUUCAGCCUAAAGAGCUGAAACUGCAGGGCAGGAGGGGCCAAGGAGGCAGCACCAGUCCAAACCAAAGGCCCAGAAGCUCCUCGGCGAGUCACACUCUGAGUCUGUGUUGGACGCUGAACAAACCAGAGCCUGACAUCACAGGCGACAGCAGCAGCCAGACAGGACCGCCCAAACGGAACGGUGCUCCCAGGAAGACACAAGACCUCCUCCACCUUCCUCCGGUCUCUAAGCCGUGAGCCCAUUGGCUGGCACUGGGCACUGUCAGAAAAGUCUGGGAUCUUGAAAAAGGGAUAAUGAAGAACAGCCUAUCAUCCUACCGCCCGUGUGUGUUACAAGGUUGGACAAUACUGCCUGUUACGUUGUACAAAGUGCUCAGAUGGCCAGGAAGUGGUCACAGAGGCUACGGUCCCGAGACGUCAGUCUACACCCUCACAGCUCUCCUGACAGCGUUUCCACCAUUAGAGCGAACAUGAAGGAGCGGCUCCCGUUCAGGAGUGAGGGCCCGUGGGGAUGAAGAUACUCGGCCUGCUUGGACUGCUGGGCAGUGAGAGCCGGUUAAGCGAUGAUCGAGGCGCAGUGCACCAAGCUGUGUCUCAAGCUAGUCACGACUGCUGUUCUCAGAAGUCUAUCCAUCUGUCCGUCCGUCCGUCCACCCAUCCCACAACUCCUUUCUGAUCAAGAUGUCAAACUGAGCCACCAUCUAGAUAAGAUGGACCCAAAGUCCCUAUAUGGACUCAGCUUGACAUGACUGCAGCCAUCUUGAACUGUAGCUGUGUGAUUGGCCCUGAUCGACCCUGGUUGGUUUUCCUCACAGUUUACAAAACCGUUAGAAUGGUGCUGGGCAUCGUGUGCAGUGAAGGGAGAGUGACUAAGACAGGCAGGCAUCAUCCUGGUGGCAGAGUUGGGUGGCCACCACAGGCCAGGUAAGUGCUGAAGAUGUCCCAGGCAGCUCACCUUGGGCCCAGCCUGCCUCGCCUGGGUUAAGUGUGGGACAGGUGGGUGGGCCCUGGAGGAGAGAAGAGACUCCAUGCAGAGAAUGCAGCAGGGCUCAGCACCGAGGCUGUCACUCAGGACCCGUCAGAGCCGCCUGCGCUUUGUCCACUGCAUGAAGCAGGGCUCGCUGCUGCAUCGAACACCUUGUUCUCAAAAGAAGAAAGAGAUGGGAAAGAAAACGCCCAGCGCCCGCUGGUGUCCGCAGAGUAAACGCUGCGUCGUGGCAGACUUCCAGCUGCCGAACGAAGCCUCGACCUUCCGCGCUCACCCGGAAACUGGCGGGAGACACUGUGGACAAGGACUCGCCGGGAGCGCAGCCACUGGCAGUGUCUGAAGAGACACUGUCUGCCGAAGAAGCCCCGGCUCCGCGAGAGUCCCCGUGACCCUUUUCUGUUUCCCAAGGAAGAUCAAUCCUCCCCAUUGCUCCUGGAAGGAAAUCAGAAGGGCGUUCUCUGGGCAGAACGACGAUGCUGCUGCCCAGUGGUGAUCGGUGGGUCACAGGGACGGGGCUGGGUCUGCCUGUGGCCGGCGACACUCUGACGCGUGCGCAUUGCCCCUGGCCUGCGUUCCCGGCCCACUGUCCUUCAUGGGGACUCAGCCCCGCCUGGGCUCCAGGUGCGACAGGCAGCGAGGGCCACUGCCGGCUCCGGCUCCCUGAGGCGCGGGCUGGGGCGCCUGUCCAGGUGGGGCCCACAUCCCCCUCCCACCUGCCCCUCUUCCGCUUGGGGUCCGCCCACCUCAGAACUGCUCAGGACAGCUGCUCUGUUUCUUGGGGACGCUCAGUGGCCCUGGUGACCAGCCAGGGCUGCAGCACCCGCGCCUUCGCCACUGCUGGCCGGCCUCAUCCACAGCAGAAGGGACCUGUGCCCCUCUCGGAGGGAAGGGGCGCCGAGGACAGGACUUAGGGCUCCCCUUCCAGGCAGAGGAGAAAACAAACUGAUUUUUCGCCAACGAUGUCCUCGAAGAAACCUUCUUUGUUUUCUGGCACAGCCUGCGGGAUUUUCGGUUCGGCACGGGUUUUGCCCGAGGGAUGCCGUUCCCUGUGCCGCAGCCCCAGCGUGCCUGUCCCCGGGAGGGGCGUGCUUGCUGGGAGGAAAUGCCCCUCUUUCCGAGGGGACGCGCCCGCGCCUCCCACUCUGUCUGCUGAGGAGACUGCGGGGCUCUGGGUGUGGCGCGGGCGCAGAGGGCGAGGAAGGGCUGUUUCCCUCUGUGUCUCCACCUCGCCUGUCCAGCAGGACCAGGAGGCUGCGGGAGCCGAGCGCGGAAGAGGCCGCCGAGCGAGCGGAGCCGCCGGGAGCGUCUGGCAAGGGGCGAGGGGUCGCCAGGGCGACCGGUGCCUGGAGACGGGAGGCCCCGCCGGCCGCCGGAAGGAGACGCUUUUGUGGCGGGGAGGCGUCUCCCUGCACGUGGAAGGGCCGAGGCUCCCUCGCCCCGCCUGGGUUGGGCCGAUCCCUGGGAGUGGGGAAGAUCGAACCUGCUCGGCGCUCAGCCGUCUCGGGUGGGCGUCCGCGGGGCAGACGGCUGCGCCGGCUUCUGCGUCGCCCCAGGCUGGGGCCCAGGGCUGCAGAUCGAGUCCGCGCCAGGCAGGGCCGGGCGCAGGACUGCGCCGAUGCUGAGGCGCGAGGGCAGCGCAGGGUGGCGGGGCCCUGCAGAGCGGACGCGGACGCGGCCUUGUCUCAGGGGCGAUGCUCGCUCUGGGACUGGGCUGGUUCCGUGACGCAGGUGGAGACAAAGCGGUUCGGUCUCCUCAGCUCGCGCUCUUGCUUCGCUUCCUGCCCCGUGGCGUCUCUGUCCCCUCCCUUCCCCGCCACGUGAUGCCAUGGCCAGAAGCCGGCGCUGGACCUCCAGACCUGUGAGCGGCGUAAACCCCUUUUUCUGUAAAACAGCGGUCUCUGGUACUUCGUCACGGUAAUGGGAAACAGACUGAGAUGCACUGCAGCCAACGACUUCCAGGAGCUUAGUGGCCGAAGAAAAAUGAAUGUUUAUUCUCAUUCGUGUCGCUGUCCAGUGGGUCGAUGGUGGGGUCAGGCUCUCGGCCUAAGUACUUCAGAGACCCGGCCUUCUGCUGCCUGGUGGCUGUGCUUCCAUCCAGGGCCCAGCCGCCUCUCCACUCAGCGGGCAAACGUGAACGAAAUGCUUGCGGGAGGGUUUAUGGGCCAACCUUAGGGUUGUGCAUGACUUCCCACAUCUCGUUCGCAAAGCUCAGUCGUGUGAGCCUAGUGACUUUGUAAGUCACAUGACUUACACCUAGUUAUAAGACAGCCGAGAGAGGCAGCGCGGUUGUGCCCAGAGCAGGGAGAGGGCAGCCAUGGAUGGGUAACAGGUGCACCUGCUGGUUGGGGAGACUGGGCCAGAUCGAAGAGUCACUGCUUCUGUCACCUGCAAGGACUGGCUGCAUUUUAAGUAACAAGGGCGCUGUUCUAAUUUUCUCCCUGACAUGUUUUCUUCAGAACUCUAUUGGGGAAGUAAAAGCCUGUUUUGACGCCCUCAAUUCCAACAUUCAGUGCGUGGUCUAGAAACUAGGAAAUAAAAUACAGAAGUUGCGAUG
ensembl:lncRNA